rnacentral:rRNA from 1 species
AUGGUAGUAAUCAUGUCUUUCUUCUCCUUGUAUGCACUAGCAAUGCUCUUUCUGUUUUCAUCAAAUAAGAGGAAGGGGUAUAUUAUUACGAACAUGAAAAUAGUACUUCUUUCGUCAAGUGAAUACAACAGCAAUAGGAAGCAAUGUAUACCAUACAAUGCCAUGUUACUAUACAUGAAAAUAGUACUUCUUUCGUCAUGUGAAUACAACACCAAUAGGAAGCAAUGUAUACCAUACAAUGCCAUGUUAUUAUACAUGAAAAAUAGUGAUGCUACUUCCAAUACUGGAUCACAUUGCUCGACUUCCUCUCAGAAUUUGCAGAGGUUAGACAUCAAUUGGAAAACAAAGUCAAAAGCCUAA